AUCCUUCAUGGUGGCCACUAGUAACGCAGGAGUUGCCUCUCUAAGACUUAACCCAGGUCAGAUAUAAAUAAUAGAUGUUAAGAGUUAGCUCUGGUACUGGGGCUGUGUUCCAGGCAGUGUAUUUCGGUUGGGUUGGGUCAAAAGAAUUUUUUUCCCUUCUUUUCUCGCAUAGUUCCUCUGCUUGAAAAAUGCCUGCAAAAUUCCAUCACACCUUUGCGAGGACCACUUUGGGUCUCUAAGGGAGAAGGUUUCAGCCCCUCAGGAGCUAAGAUGUACAUCCAAGGAGUUCUUUUGGCCCUGUACCAACGAUUAAAGUC
rnacentral:lncRNA from 1 species